ensembl:lincRNA
GAGGGCAAGUUUUUACUUUUUUUUUUUUUUUUUUGGUGUGGGGGAUCAAACCCAGGACCUUGUGCACUCAAGGCAAGCACUCCACCAACUGAGCUAUAGCCCAGCCCAGGUUCUUACAUUUUGGCUUUCAGGUAUACCCUGGAUUAGGAGGAAAAACAGUUCAUGUUCACAAUCCUAUCUCAGCCUCUGAUUCAUGUGAUCUUGGCUAAAUUGCAUCUCUGGGCCUCAGUUUUCCUCCCAUGACAUGGGCUAACUGCUGCUGUCACCUCCAGGAUGGUCAAAAGAAUCAAAGUGAAGGAUAAGGUUGGGGGGAUGGCAAAGACCACAGAGCACAGGUAAGUGGUGGUGAGCUUUCUGACUCUCCUAAUAGUUCUGAGAGACCCUGGGAGAGGGCGCAGAGGGAGUCCCUGACUGUUCUCCCUGAAGAGAUGAUCCUUGCCCCCACCAUACCCCUGGAUAGUUUUCCUAUAACUCGUGGGAAAGUGCCUUGAGGCUGAUGACUGACAGCUUCCUUUUCCACAGCACCUCCUGUCAUGUCCCCCCGGCAUCCCUGGAGGCCCUCUGACCUGCUCUGGCUAUUUAUGGCUCCUCCUGUAGACCUAAAUUCCUGGCUCUCCUUUCCAAGUCAGACCAGUUCCCCCCACUGGCCCCAGAGUUACAACAGCUAAUCUGGGGGAUCAGGUGCCAAGAUCCUGGCUCCUCCCCCUGCAGCUGCUACUACACUCUUUGGGGGGCUGGGUGCCCUGUCCCUUACCCCUACCCCUGUUGGGGAAGGUUCUAUCAAUGUCCUCCUGCACAGGAGGAAACUGAGCAAUGAGGUAUUUUAUUCAAGGUCACACAGGAUCUCAGUGGUGUGCUGGGGUUUGAACCUAGCCUUUUCCUCCUGCAUCUUAUGCUGCCUGGACCUCAGUAACAAGGAGAGCAGUGAACUGACAUUAACACAGCCCUGGUUGCUGGUCGGACAAUACCCUCAGCACCGGCACAUUAAUUCCUCCACUCUUCACAAGGAUGUUUGGGAAAUUGGCAAAGAGAGGAAGAGCAAAUUGUUGAGGAAAGAGAAGAGAGACGAAUAUAUUACUACCUGGCUUUGCUCUUUCACCUACCUCUCCCCACCUCUCCAGCCAUGAGGUGGGAGAUAUGCUCAGCCUUGUGAGGAGUCUGUCUCUCCCGCCUGCACAGAAUAAAUCAUAUUCAGACACCCAUUCCGAUGCAUAAGGAAUAAUACUACCCAAGGACAAAGAAGCACAUGUAUGUGAUUGGAUGGCAUACAUUGAGCAAAGACAAGAGGUGGCUCCAACUCUUUUAUAGGCUCAACUCUGGUGACAAGAGAGGAGAGGCUGAAUGCAGGUCUGUUCCAGACUAGUCUCUGAACUCAGAGUUGGGGUAGGGGAAGGGCAAGAGGCCCAAAAGUAUUGAGAGACUGUGAAAUUAGAGCCUUCUGCCUAGAUUAGGGAGCUGGUGCAGAGGGGGAUUUUUAAGGACAGAUCUUUAGGGUCACAUCUUUAGGUUCAGAGCUUGGGGGUGGGAUCCUACCCUUUCAUUUCAUGCUGAAUUUCUGUAC